AAUGAGAUUAUAAAUGGGAAGGCAGCUGUAAUUGGGUUCUUGCUGUUGUUGGAUUUUGAGCUAUUGACUAGUAAAGGACUUGGCAUUUGGUUUAUCACUUUCAGCACUGCUUGGGGAUAAUAUCUACAACUUUGGCGAGCUGCUGGCACAUCCUAUUGUAAGAAUAUCUCUGCCCUACUACUCUGUGUGUGUGUGUGUUUUUUCCCUUCUUUCUACUCAACUUGCCUUAGUUGCUCUACUUUUUUUUUUCCCAUUUUACAUCUUGCUAUACCCUGCUGUUUCAUCAAGUUUUGGAGUUAUUACAAAUUUAAUUUAAACUUUAUAUGCUUACAGGUGGAAACUAGCUUAAGUCUUAUGUUCUUAAUAAUAAAAUGACUUUUUUUUUUACAAUGUGUAGGUAUAUUGAGAUGAUUUCUUUGGAGCAAUUCUUGACAACAUUUGUAGUUGAGGCCUUUAGAAUGGAAGAAUGUAUUUCACUAAUUUUUGUAUACAUUUCUUGUUUUGUAUUUGGUGAUAAAGGAAUCUGAAUUGGGCAUAAAUUAUGUUGUAAUAUGAUUUCUUAAGCCUAGACUAGUAGACUAAAUAUUGUAAUUACAUUUGAGUAAUUAAUAAAAAUCUAUUUAUGCUA